GUGUCAGCAGCCGCGGUAAUACGAAGGGGGCUAGCGUUGUUCGGAAUCACUGGGCGUAAAGGGCGCGUAGGCGGCUUGACAAGUCAGGUGUGAAAGCCCCGGGCUCAACCCGGGAAUUGCACUUGAUACUGUCUGGCUUGAGUCCGGGAGAGGAUGGCGGAAUUCCCAGUGUAGAGGUGAAAUUCGUAGAUAUUGGGAAGAACACCGGUGGCGAAGGCGGCCAUCUGGACCGGUACUGACGCUGAGGCGCGAAAGCAUGGGGAGCGAACAGGAUUAGAAACCCUGGUAGUCC
rnacentral:rRNA from 1 species